rnacentral:pre_miRNA from 14 species
GCGGCAGGUGGAGCCAGCUGGCGGCCGCCCUCCCUGUCCUCCAGGAGCUCACGUCGGCCUGCCUGUGAGCGCCUCGACGACAGAGCCGGCGUCCGCACAGCGUCCGCGCGUCCACGGC